GACGAACGCUGGCGGCGCGCCUAACACAUGCAAGUCGAACGAGAAUCAACGGAUUGAGGAUUCGUCCAAAUGAAGUUGAGGAAAGUGGCGGACGGGUGAGUAACGCGUGAGGAACCUGCCUCGGAGUGGGGAAUAACAGUUGGAAACAGCUGCUAAUACCGCAUAAUGCAACGGAAUCGCAUGACUCUGUUGCCAAAGAUUUAUCGCUCUGAGAUGGCCCCGCGUCUGAUUAGCUAGUUGGCGGGGUAACGGCCCACCAAGGCGACGAUCAGUAGCCGGACUGAGAGGUUGGCCGGCCACAUUGGGACUGAGACACGGCCCAA
rnacentral:rRNA from 1 species